rnacentral:rRNA from 1 species
UUAACUGACGCUAAAGCUCGAAAGUGCGGGUAUCGAACAGGAUUAGAUACCCUGGUAGUCCGCACGGUAAACGAUGGAUGCCCGCUGUUGGCGAUACAAUGUCAGCGGCCAAGCGAAAGCGUUAAGCAUCCCACCUGGGGAGUACGCCGGCAACGGUGAAACUCAAAGGAAUUGACGGGGGCCCGCACAAGCGGAGGAACAUGUGGUUUAAUUCGAUGAUACGCGAGGAACCUUACCCGGGCUUGAACUGCAGCAGAACGAUUGAGAGAUCAUGAGGUCCUUCGGGACUGCUGUGGAGGUGCUGCAUGGUUGUCGUCAGCUCGUGCCGUGAGGUGUCGGCUUAAGUGCCAUAACGAGCGCAACCCUUUUCCUUAGUUGCCAUCAGGUUAUGCUGGGCACUCUGGGGAUACUGCCACCGUAAGGUGUGAGGAAGGUGGGGAUGACGUCAAAUCAGCACGGCCCUUACGUCCGGGGCUACACACGUGUUACAAUGGGUGGUACAGAGAGUCGGUCGGCGGCAAUGCCGAUCCAAUCCUUAAAGCCAUCCUCAGUUCGGAUUGGGGUCUGCAACCCGACCCCAUGAAGCUGGAUUCGCUAGUAA